AGGAAAUGAACUGUAAGGCUUAGGGUGUUAGCUUCUUCCUCUGAGUAUGUACCGAUCCUACUGCCCCAGCUCAGUUCAGGAGGGAAGCUGCAAGCAGCAUUUUCUGUCUCUUGGAUGGAAAAAGAAAAAACGAAGUUCAAAUUUAAAGCGAACUCAAAUUACCUGCUUCUUGUUGUGUUGUUCACUGCUGAAUAAUCAUGAGGCUGAAUAAUCAAGAGCCAGAUCCUGUGCUGCAUCUGAUGGACUGGAUGGCCUCUCUUUAGCGUCAUUGAGAAUUUUCAGGGAUGACAAUGUAUGACAAAGCCACUGUGAAUGAUCUGGAUAACACUCUGUGUCAUGUUUCCAUGCACUAAUGAAACAAGCUAGCGACUAAAAUAGUUCGA